CGAGACCCAGUCCGCUGGGGGCGCGCGCACGGGGCGGCUGGGGCGGGUCCGGCGAGGGGCGUAGCCAAGCCGGGGGCGAGGGCGCGCGGGGGCGGGCGGCCCCAGCAAUGUCUGCAAGGGUCGGGGGACGCCGGCGGCCCGCAGGCCCGGAGGUGACAGAAGGGGCUAGGGGUGUCCGGGGCUGAGCCAGCAGGGUCCGCUCCCUCACAGGGAAGGCUGAGUGCCCGCCUGGGAGAGGAAGGCCGCCCUUUGCCAGGUGGGCCGCCUCCGCAAAGACUUGGUCGUCGUCAUCGGGGCACUCGGCCAAGGAAGGACUUCCUCUGAGCUGUAAUGAUCAACCCGGGGCGGGGUGAAUGUGUACCUAGGAGGCGGUGGCCGCAGGUGUCCAGCGGGAGGCCAGCGCUGCCGCCUGGGAGGCAGGCUGACUUGCCGGGGAUGGAGCUUUCACUCCUAACCUCCGGGGCCCUCGCCGGUGGGGCUGAGCUGGCCUCUGGGGAAAGCUGACAAAGUCUCAGGAUGUACCUGUUCCGAAGAGUCCCUAGAAAACUGUAGUCGUCACCCCUCUGCACUCCACUUUAGGGGAAUGUGGCCUUUGGACAGGAAGCAUCUCUCGGCCCUCAGCCGCGGGUGCAUUUUCUACAGAAGACUUCCAUAAGCCAAGGCACACUGGAAAUACUUCUGAGGGAAAUGAAAGGAGAAGGAUUUCUUCCAAAAUAGAUACUGCCUCCUCCUCAGGCCAAAGCAAGUGAUGUGGUUACAGCUCAGGCAGAGAGCACAAUGUCAUUCUUGCUCCAGGAAGAGAGAAGAGGGUUGUGGAGAGAUGUUUCCCUGCCCUCCCCUGCCACGCCAUCCCUGGGAGCUCUCACCUGUGCAGAAGUGAGUGGAUCCAGUUUUUAUCAUGCUUUGAAAUGUGGCGUUGGCACUCACUCUACCCUUUGAAGGAAACCCCAGCCCUAGCCUCCUGUUUGGAGAAAACAGUGAUGCGACAGCCCACCAACCACAAUGCAAGUUGAGGAGUCUCCUGACCUCCUGAGCUUUGAGUUGAAUCAACGGAUUGCAGUGCAUCUCUGGCACCCCUGCGUCAGAAACAGAAUCUCUUCUGUCAUAAGAAGCAGGACAGGAAAGGCUCCAUGGGCAUCUCUGGAUGAUUUAGAUUGCUAAGGCUGAAUUUCUUUUUCCAGAAGAGCCCAGAUUAUCUCAGAGACAACCUCAAACUCCAAACUCAACAGCAGCACAUUGUGGGAGCGUAAGAAACACUUUCUUGCUGUCUGAUAAUUGCAUGGCUCGCCCUGUUGUUAGCUGGGUAGUUCAGCUCCGAUCUCAGAGAAGAAACCAUCCACCCAUUUCCCUUUUCCUUGUCACUUUGCUGCUUCAAACUUUCCUAUAGCUCUGGCUAGCCUAGUUUUUAUUUCCUGCCUAAUUUCUGCUUCUCCAUGUUUCUACAGCAACCAUAUGGAGAGUGAGCUACUGUGGCCUCCCUCUCAAAAAAAUAAAAAGGCUUUCUUGU